rnacentral:rRNA from 1 species
GAUGAACGCUGGCGGCGUGCCUAAUACAUGCAAGUCGAGCGAAUGGAUUAAGAGCUUGCUCUUAUGAAGUUAGCGGCGGACGGGUGAGUAACACGUGGGUAACCUGCCCAUAAGACUGGGAUAACUCCGGGAAACCGGGGCUAUACCGGAUAACAUUUUGAACCGCAUGGUUCGAAACUGAAAGGCGGCUUCGGCUGUCACUUAUGGAUGGACCCGCGUCGCAUUAGCUAGUUGGUGAGGUAACGGCUCACCAAGGCAACGAUGCGUAGCCGACCUGGGAGGGUGAUCGACCACACUGGGACUGAGACACGGCCCAGACUCCUACGGGAGGCAGCAGUAGGGAAUCUUCCGCAAUGGACGAAAGUCUGACGGAGCAACGCCGCGUGAGUGAUGAAGGCUUUCGGGUCGUAAAACUCUGUUGUUAGGGAAGAACAAGUGCUAGUUGAAUAAGCUGGCACCUUGACGGUACCUAACCAGAAAGUCACGGCUAACUACGUGCCAGCCGCCGCUGUAA